UAACUUAGAGACUUGAUGCUAAGGAAAACUAAGGUGGCCCAGUCAGUGGAGCCUAGCAAGCUCACAUCAAAUUGGGAAGGACUAUAUAAGGUUUUAAGAUCAUGCGCCUCGAAACUUAUCAAUUGGAGCAUCUAGAUGGGACUCCUAUCUCAUAGGUCGGGUUGUAGCUCUCAAGCCAACCAAGAUCGAGUAUAUCUCACAAUGAUUACUGACAAAUGCUUUCUAAUGUGGUAGAUCAAAUAAGCCAUACAAUGGCUCUACGGAGGUAAUACCUUCAUUUAUUAGGCGAGCUAUCCAAUAGGCUUACCAUUCUGAUCCACGUACUGAAGACCUAGUGACCUACCUACCUUCACA
rnacentral:lncRNA from 1 species